AAGCAAGAAACUAAUAAUAUUAUGGUUUCGACCCAUGACAAGGUGUUCCACUUCACCCUUGCU
rnacentral:tRNA from 1 species